AGUGAACGCUGGCGGUAGGCCUAACACAUGCAAGUCGAACGGCAGCACAGUAAGAGCUUGCUCUUACGGGUGGCGAGUGGCGGACGGGUGAGGAAUACAUCGGAAUCUACUUUUUCGUGGGGGAUAACGUAGGGAAACUUACGCUAAUACCGCAUACGACCUACGGGUGAAAGCAGGGGAUCUUCGGACCUUGCGCGAUUGAAUGAGCCAAUGUCGGAUUAGCUAGUUGGCGGGGUAAAGGCCCACCAAGGCGACGAUCCGUAGCCGGUCUGAGAGGAUGAUCAGCCACACUGGAACUGAGACACGGUCCAGACUCCUACGGGAGGCAGCAGUGGGGAAUAUUGGACAAUGGGCGCAAGCCUGAUCCAGCCAUACCGCGUGGGUGAAGAAGGCCUUCGGGUUGUAAAGCCCUUUUGUUGGGAAAGAAAAGCAGCAGGUUAAUACCCCGCUGUUCUGACGGUACCCAAAGAAUAAGCACCGGCUAACUUCGUG
rnacentral:rRNA from 1 species